AUUGAACGCUGGCGGCAUGCUUUACACAUGCAAGUCGAACGGUAACAGGUUAAGCUGACGAGUGGCGAACGGGAGAGUAAUGCAUCGGAACGUGCCCGGUCGUGGGGGAUAACGCAGCGAAAGCUGCGCUAAUACCGCAUACGAUCUGAGGAUGAAAGCGGGGGACCGUAAGGCCUCGCGCGAUCGGAGCGGCCGAUGUCAGAUUAGGUAGUUGGUGGGGUAAAGGCUCACCAAGCCGACGAUCUGUAGCUGGUCUGAGAGGACGACCAGCCACACUGGGACUGAGACACGGCCCAGACUCCUACGGGAGGCAGCAGUGGGGAAUUUUGGACAAUGGGCGCAAGCCUGAUCCAGCAAUGCCGCGUGCAGGAAGAGGGCCUUCGGGUUGUAAACUGCUUUUAUACGGAGCGAAAAGGCUCUCUCUAAUACAGGGGGCUCAUGACGGUACCGUAAGAAUAAGAACCGGCUAACUACGUGCCAGCCGCCGCGGUAA
rnacentral:rRNA from 1 species